rnacentral:misc_RNA from 1 species
GAUGAAGAACGUAGCGAAAUGCGAUAAGUAAUGUGAAUUGCAGAAUUCAGUGAAUCAUCGAAUCUUUGAACACACAUUGCGCCCCCUGGUAUUCCGGGGGGCAUGCCUGUUCGAGCGUCAUUUCAACCCUCAAGCUCUGCUUGGUAUUGAGUCCAUGUCAGCAAUGGCAGGCUCCAAAAUCAGUGGCGGCGCCGCUGGGUCCUGAACGUAGUAAUAUCUCUCGUUACAGGUGCUCGGCGUGCUUCUGCCAAAACCCCAAUUUUUCUAUGGUUGACCUCGGAUCAGGUAGGGAUACCCGCUGAACUUAAGCAUAUCAAUAAGCGGAGGA